rnacentral:pre_miRNA from 1 species
AGGAGGUACAACCACAGUGGCUGGGCCAGCUCUGGAGCCCUGGAUCAGCUCCCGCAGUAACUAGGGAGCUCUCCGUCUGCAGGGCCUGGAGGCUCCGGGGGCGG